GUUUAAAAGAUGGUUCUGCUAUCACUCUUGGGAUGGACCUGCGGUGCAUUAGCUAGUUGGGUAGGGGUAACGGGCCUACCAAGGCGAUGAUGCAUAGCCGAGUUGAGAGACUGAUCGGCCACAUUGGGACUGAGACACGGCCCAAACUCCUACGGGAGGCAGCAGUAGGGAAUCUUCCACAAUGGACGCAAGUCUGAUGGAGCAACGCCGCGUGAGUGAAGUAAGGGUUUCGGCUCGUAAAGCUCUUGUUGUUGGUGAAGAAGGACAGGGGGUAGUAACUGACCUUUGUUUGACGGUAAUCAAUUAGAAAAGUCACGGGCUAACUACGUGCCCAGCAGCCGCGGGUAAAU
rnacentral:rRNA from 1 species